rnacentral:rRNA from 1 species
AACGAACGCUGGCGGCAUGCCUAACACAUGCAAGUCGAACGAGACCUUCGGGUCUAGUGGCGCACGGGUGCGUAACGCGUGGGAACCUGCCCUUAGGUCCGGAAUAACUCCCCGAAAGGGGUGCUAAUACCGGAUAAUGUCUUCGGACCAAAGAUUUAUCGCCUUUGGAUGGGCCCGCGUUGGGUUAGCUAGUUGGUAGGGUAAAAGCCUACCAAGGCGACGAUCCAUAGCUGGUCUGAGAGGAUGAUCAGCCACACUGGGACUGAGACACGGCCCAGACUCCUACGGGAAGCAGCAGUGGGGAAUAUUGGACAAUGGGCGAAAGCCUGAUCCAGCAAUGCCGCGUGAGUGAUGAAGGCCUUAGGGUUGUAAAGCUCUUUUACCCGGGAUGAUAAUGACAGUACCGGGAGAAUAAGCUCCGGCUAACUCCGUG